AACUGAUACUACCUGCGGGAACCUGCGGAAGGAUCAUUAUAGAGUUGUAAAACUCCCUAAACCCAUUGUGAACGUACCUAUUUGUUCCUUCGGCAGGCGGCCCCCGGGGGGGCUUCGCCGUCGACCGGCGCCUGCCGAAGGACAAGCAAAACUCUGCUGCUUUAGUGUUAUUUCUGAGCAACUAAAACAAAUAAGUCACAACUUUCAGCAACGGAUCUCU
rnacentral:misc_RNA from 1 species